UUUUUUUAAUUUUUUUUGUUGACAUGUUUGAAGUUUGUGUAGAAAAUAAAUACUGCGACGUAAUCGGAAACGUACAUAAAUAUUUACACAAGCGCUCAUGGAUAGGGAUAAAGAAUUAUUGCAAUUGUUACUUCUAACAACAGCGUGGUUAUUAGUAAAGAGACGGAAUAAGCGAAGAUUCAGUAGAUGGAUGCCGCAGGCCUCAGUUUUACCUCCGAAGACAAAAAUACGACGGAGAGGAAGAACUAAUGUCCUAUUAGAAAUGAAAUUUGAUGACCCUUGUAUAUUUGAUUACUACAGGAUGGAUGCUAAAACAUUUGAGGCUUUGUUAAACAUCAUGGGGCCUCAUCUUAUAAAGAAUAGUCGACGAACACCACUUCCUCCGCAAGUCAGACUAGCAAUGACGUUGAGGUAUCUGGCAACAGGAGAAACCAUGCAGUCCAUUGCGGGAGCAUUCAAUUGUGGCAGAGCAACUGUGUGCAUUAUAGUGAAUGACACUUGCCAAAGGUUAUGGACGGUAUUGGCACCACAGUACGUGAACCGCCCAGUUAGUCAUGAAGAGUGGCUAAAAAUCGCCAGUGAUUUCGAAGAUAAGUGGAAUUUACCGCAUUGUGUCGGCAUUGUCGAUUGCAGGCACGUUUCCGUUCGUACUCAAAAAUCUCUGUUUUUCAGUAAUAAACUUGGCACAGGUGUGGUUAUGUUGGCCAUAUGUGAUAACAAGUACUGCUUUAAUUACUUGAACAUUGAAGCGUACGACGAACAGAGCGGUGGUGGAGGCUUGAUGAAGGCAACUGAUUUUGCCACAAUACUGGAAAAUGAUGCAUUUGCUUUGCCAUCUCAGUGCCCGCUGCCAGGGAUGAUCGAGCCCAUGCCCUACUACUUUGUCGGAGACGAGCAGUUUCCAUUAAAAUUAAACUUAAUGAGGCCUUAUUCCUCAAAGGACGUGUCCGAGGUAAAAAAAAACUUUAAUUACAGGUUGUCUAGAGUGCAGAGAUGCAUGGAAAACAUAUUUGGCAUCUUGGUUUCUCGGUGGAAUAUAUAUCUGCACACAAUCAAUGCACAUCCGCUAACCGUGCGCAAAAUCAUAAAAGCUACAGUUUGCCUGCACAACUUCCUGAUGAAAAGCCAAGACCCACUGUACUGCCCAAGCAACGGAUUCGUGGAUGAGGAGAAUGACUUUGGUGACGUCGUGCCAGGCGAGUGGAGAGCGGAAGUGAACCUGAGUAACUCCGCACUGCAGAGGAUUGGUCGGCUGGGUUCAAACAUGUCGAAACGCAGCAGUGUGCAGGCAAGAGACGUUUUGGCCUCAUACCUAGUCGGUGAAAAAGGCUCAGUGGAGUGUCAGUGGCUCCAGGAAGUGGAAGAAGAACAGAAUGUGUGAUUAAUGUAUUAGUAACCUUUUUCAUUCUGUUUGGAUGACCAAUAAAGAAGAUAUAAGAAUAAAGUAACUUUUAAUAGGGAUUUUUAAUAGUUUGGUAUUUUUAUUUUAUUUAAUAAUGUGACUAUUUGAUUUUAUUUAUUUUAAUUUCUUUUAAACAAAUAGGGCUUCUGUGAGCGUGGACUCUAAUUAAGAGGCAUUACAUUAAUAUUUGUUAGCAAAAGUAAUAACUACUCUUAUGUAAAUAUAAAUCUACCUAUGGUAGAUUAGCUAACAAUGUUCCCUAAUUAACAGUUCAGUAACUUUACAGGACGGGGAAAAAAAAAAUUAUUUUCAAUGACGUCAAGUACCUUUAGUGUGUAUUUAAUGUAAUGGUAUUAUUUUAAAACAACAUUUUGAAUACUUUCUUUACUAUCAAGCAAGGGUAACCAACAACACUCCUCCUAUUACCUCAGCACGUAGCCUACUGCAGUUAGUAAGUCUGUUUUGUGUAUUUUGGCGGUUCCAUUUUUGUGCAAUGAUGCUUGUAUCUUUAUAGUUGUCAAAAUAGUUAUAAUGGUGGAUGAAAAAAAUCCGCUGAAAUUUGUUGGAACCAAAUGUCAAUUUCCUUAAAAAUGCCAGGCAGUAUUUUUUUAAAGUGACGAUAUCAAACAUCACUACAUGAUGCAGACUUAUAUACAACCUUAUGUAAGAGCAUGGGAAACUCGAAAAAAAAAUUUUUAUCUCAUAUUUUUUCUAACAUUUUCAUCACUAAUCACUAUUAUCUUUUAAUUUUAUAAACUUACAAAUAAGUAUUUUUGACGAAGUAGAAGUUUCAAUUUUCAAUUCUGUGACCAUCACACCCAAACGAAAGAUUUUACAUAAAAACUAUUUUAGUUGUAAUAUUUUAAUAGUUUAUGGUUUGUUAAUACAGUUAUUUUUGACUACAAAUAUCUUUUGGCACAUUGAGGUUUCAGUAAUGAGCCAAUUUCAAAAUUUGAGUCUACUUCACUUGACAAAAAUGACCAGUCCAGUCAAGAAAGAUCCUCACUAAAUAAAUAAAAAGGGGGGGGGGGGGGAUAGGGAGCAAAUACAUUUACCAUAUAUAUGUUAUAUAUUUUUCACAUGUUUUAAAAUGUCUGUCAUUUGAAAUUCUUCUUAUCACAGUGAAAUUAUUUGACAUCAAUCCCUCCUAUUGAAGCGGGUCCAGGGGUCCUCCCCCGCUAAAAUUUGUAUUUCAAGGUGGAAAAUGGUGCUAUUCAAGCAGUUUUAUUUUUAAAAAUUGAUUAAACAGCACUUUCUUUGCCCCCGUUUGCACCCACUUCAUGGUUUCAGAGGGGGGGGGGGGGGUGGCAAAAUACCCUUGCCUUGUUGUUGCACCCCUGUUUGACAUCAUACAUUUUAGAAUGAAUCAUACUUAUUCUGUGUCAUUCUACAUUUUAAUACUAUAUGUUUAUUUUAGUAAGCAUCAAGAGAUACUAGUAUCAUAACAUCUGAUUUCCAUGUGAAUGCUUUUCAAAAUACUUUAAAAGUAUCACUGUAACUCAAUUGCUUAUUUCUUGAUCAGAAAAAAUUGCAAAUAACUAGAAAAUAACUGAUCUUAUGCAUGGCCGACUUACAUCUCAUUGCUAACUAAAGAGUGGCUUUAGGAGCGGCUGUAUCACAUUCUCGCUCCACUCCCCUCCACCAGAUCAUCACAUUAUUUUAGAAUGGUUACUUCGGAGAUAGUGUUUUAUUGUGGAAAACCAGAUGACUUAAAGAAUUAGCUGUGCUCUUAAAUAGUGAUUGUUAUCUUAUAUGAUCACAAGGAACACUGGACACUGCAAAAAUAAAUUAUGUAAUUUUCAAUAGUAUUGUUACGAUCGCGCUUGGCUGCAGUGCUUGGCAUCGCCGCGCUCGUUCGGCCUGUCUGCGCCCCCUUCCACCCGCAUCCUAUCCCUGGUAUCUCGUGUCAUACUAUCUCGCGACAUCCUGACCGUCGCAGCACGCACCUGCCUCAGAUCGAGUUACUUAAAAGAGGCCGCACUGCGGAAUAAAAGGACUCAGACAUGUUUAUCGGCACGUUUUGUGGGAACCCGAUGCUUGUUGCGUUUAUCGGCGUUCUUUGAGCAGCCGCCGCGUCCUUCGACAGGACUCACGACGCGUUUCUGGACAUUUCGAUGGCGAAGGUCGUGCGAUAUCUCGGAGACAUUCCCAAUUGUUCUGGACGGGAACCCAAGGGCUAUAUAAGGAGGUUGGGCCGACCUUCGAGUCAGUCGGAGACUGAGUGAGUUCUCCCGCGGCGGAGAUCCGGGCGAUAGUGCCGCUGGUGCGGCAGAGUGGCGAAGUCCUUGGACGAAGGUUCCAGGGCAGGGAGUGAAUGAGUUGUGGAGUCGCAAGUUUUCCCGCGGCAGAGUUUCUGGGCGAUAGAGUCGCGGGCGCGGCGGAGUCCCGAACGAAGUUGCGAGCAAGGAGUCGAGUGGGAUCUCGGUGAAGAGGAAAUGAGUCUCGGCGGCGGCGGAGUGUGGCGACGGAGUCCCGCGGCGGAGACCCACGAGGGGUGCUGCGGCGAGAGUUGCGCCAGAGGUGCGACCCAGCGAGGUGUGUGGAACGAGUGACUGCGGAAUAGACAUAUUUCUUUAAGUGUAGUUAAUUAUUUGCCAUCUUAGAAGAUUAAUUGUAAGUGACAAGUAGUGGUAAUAAAUAAAACUGUGUGUGUGAAAUACAAUAUUUAAUUGGGCUAUCCUUUACGAACCCGCGGUAAAUCGUAACAGUAUGUAGCAGCAGUGUCCACCGACCUUUUACACCUACAAAGUUCGUGAUUUUUAAUCCAUGGAAAAAUAAAAUUACCUUCAAAAUUUUAACAUUGCAAUUCUAUGACUGAGUAAUUUUACCAGACUGUUGGUCAAUUCUUUUAUAUUGAUGUACAUAUGUAAUGCAUGUGUGAUUUUUACUUUCGUUUAGCAAUUAAGCUGUCUGAUAACUCAACCAACCUGUUUACUCAUCAUUUGAAUGGAAAGAUAGGGCCUAAGAACAUGGGAAAAUCUACAAUCAAGUUAUGCAUUUGUAAGUUUUAAUAAAAGACUCAAAAUUUUUCUUGAUUCCCAAGAAAAAUUUGCAUUAAAUUACACACAAUUUAGCAUUGUUUUUACAAAUAACAAAGACAGUUUGUGAAAGAUUACACAAUUUUUAGCUAUAUUUUUAGUCCAGAUGUUAAUGUACAUUUGUAGAUAUUAGGUCAUUGUAAAAUUACUAUAGAAUUAGCAUAUUUAUGUAACUACCAUCACUAGUAAAUAAAAAAUAAACAUUAUUUAUUUAGCACAGUGUCAGUGUGCAUUUUCACACAUACUUUAAAAUUGGUUGUUUUACACGUUAGUUAUCUAAUUAUAAUAGACUUUUGUUUAUGUUUAUGGAAUUCCCAUAAAUUUUUAUAAACCUAGUUUUUUUUUUUUUUUUGUAAAAUUACAUAAAUAUGUAUUGUAGUUCUGCUAAAACCAGUGUAUCACAGCUAACAUUUAUAACUUUUGUUUUUGACAUCGUACAUUUAUUACUUUUGGCAUUAAAACAGUAUUUGUAUUUGAAUUUUAGUCGUAUAUAUGACACUCUGAACUCUAUGCACAUUGUUAUUACAAUGCCAGCACAUUUCCCAGACCCCUCUAAGUACUAUUUAUUAUGGCAAACGAAAACUAAAAUAUUAUGAAAUAUGAUACUCUCAGUGUGUGUCUAAUUUAAAUUUGUGUAUUUACAGACUAAACCACUUUAGUUUCAGUUGUGUUAUUGAUAUCUGGAAAAUGUUUAUCUGCACAGCCCUCCAGCCAAUCAGACACCUGCAGUAUGAAUUUAAGUUAAUUUUAAAUGAACUGAAAAAGAGUGUAAAAGCGUCUAAAAUGUUUUAACAGGAAUUAGUGACGCGGUGUUAAGACCAUUGAAUUUUAGUGUUACCAAGUAAAUUGACGAUCUACAACAAUAACGAAGUGUGUUACGAUUGGUCUUAAGUGUGUUGAUAUAAAAUAGUGUUAUUUUAAUCGAGAUAUCCAAGUGAGCAGUGUUUUAGUAAGUACAUUGACCUGCUGAUCUAUUCCUCACACACAGACUGAACACUAUUUUUGAUAAGCAGAAUUACAUGUUAUGUGUUUCAUGUGAAUACAAAAACACUGUUUUUUAAGUGAUGUAAACUAUCAGGUGUAUUUCCACACACGUUAACAAGUUAUUUAAUGAACUCUGUAAAUUUACACUAUUUUUAUGUAAUUGAUUCUCACACACUCAGUGGUCCUGUUUGAACAAUUAUUUUUGCCUGCACUGAGCUAUACAUAUAAUGUUUUUAAACUACGUAUACUGAAAGAAUGUUUGUUGCUAUACAUGUGUCUGACAUAUCUCCUGAAUUUUACCUAGACAAACAGUAGUAAGCCGUAAAAGUUCCGUAUUGUGUUUUGAAUACUUUAUUAUAAUUUUAUUACUGAUUGAAUCAUAUUUAAAAAAACAAAUUUAAUAGAGAAAAAGUAAAGUAACAUAAUUGUACAGUAAAUAGUAUUGAUAUUUUGCAACUACAUAAACUGUGUACCUAUAUCAUUGUAUGUUCAUUUUAAAACACUAUAUGAACUGUAUUAGAGUAUUACUAUAAUUAUGUUUCAGUUAUCUUUUAAUAAAAUAUAUUGUCUAUGCACAGUAUAUGUAUUUGCCUACCAUAGCACACACCAAAUCUUUUUAUCUGUGUUGUAUUGUUUAUACUGUGGAUAAGCAUAUCUAUCUAGACAAUAAUAAGUCAAGGAGUAUCAGCACAGGUAAAUUUUUUUAAAAUAACUCACCCAAAAUGUAAAUUUACUCAACAUUUUUCUAUAGUGAAUUCAGAGCAAUUUGUAUAAAGAAUAAAUUAAUUUCAGUUUUUUUGCAAAUGUUUUAUAUUGACAUGGCCCAGGGCCUAACUGUCCUUGUACUAAGCGGGGGUUCGCGUCAAUGCAUGUCCUAAGAUUAAUUUGUGGGAGAGACUCUUUUUCAGGGUCGUGACGUCGCCCAUGUGAGGCGUGAUUUUAACCCCCCUAAAGCCAAUCCUAGUACUUGCUACUGGCCCGCUCUCAGCGUCGGGCACGCUCUUCACCUAUGCAGUGGGCUCUUAAGGCGUUCUACAUGCCGUCACACUCAGGAUGUUGAAAUAAAUAAAUACAAAUAAAAUCGUAUGCCCUGGUUUAUUUAGUUGCUAUUUCGCCUACACCUUUGAUUAUAUUACUCAACGCCUGCGGCACGGAUCGGUUCACGUGAGGUGGGACCUGACCACGUGGUCACACUAUACAAUUAGUUAAUUCACGGUAAAAUAACCAUAGUGGCCACUUAUACAAUUACUUAAACAGUCUCCCCGCCAAGAGAAGGCCUGAGGACUAACGUACGAAAAUAUUUAUGAUGAUUAAAAUUUAAACAGAAUUACUCAGCAGUGCAGACAAGCAGUGAGGUCCCCAAGGUGCUGAUGCGUCUGCUCUCGGUCGGUGUUGGCAAAGGAAUGGGGCGUGCUCAGGGCUCCGCUAGCCUAACAUGGCGUCUUCGCGCCGAACCAAUUAUUGUUAUAUCUAUUUACCAUUACUUGCCACAGGAAGCUACAGGUAAGACAUAAAACACUCUUAAUAAUUAGAUUACACUUAAUGCAUGAUGAAAACUAUUAACUAAAAUUACAACAAAUUAUUAUCAAUGUUAACCAGUCCGGCUUCGGCGGACUUCGGUUCGUCUCGUGCAUGUUCGGUACGUCUUUCCGUUGUUUACUCUUACUGACUAUGAAUUAAUUAAAGUACAUAAAAACACUCCAGGCCAAUCUUCCGUCACACGCCACUUGGGGAAAAAUAAGCAAAAAAGAAUUACAAUGUUUAUCACUAGUUAAAGGGGUGUGAUGCACUGCUGCUACAGCGCCCUCUUGACGUUCGUGGCGCGCUAUUCAAACACACGUCCUAAGCCCUAGUGGUAGGGAAGGAUGGAGGGUGGGGUUUGUUUAGGCGGUGGCAUAUCGGGCUUAAAAAGGCAGCAGACCCGAACGAUGUCAAUAUAUUUAGUGAAAGAGAUUUUUACCUGUUUUGUUAUCCUCACUGCUAUAAUGCCGAUGAGCUAUUUGGAGGAUGAUACACUCACUAACUUAGCUUAAGGAAGCCACUAACACCCACGUCACAAGCCAGACUUGAACCCACAAUCUCUGUGUUGUAGAACAGGCACAAUGAUACAUUUUGCAUAGGUAACGAGCAAUAAACAAAAUUAUAUAAUUAAAUUUCUUUCUUAUUUAUAUCUUGGAAGUUAGCACUGGUGGAGUCUACGUGUUUGCCUAGAGGUUCAGAUGACACCUAGGCAGAAGUUUCUAUCAUGUAGUAGCAGCAGCAUCUGUUACACUGGAACAUGUCCUGUUCAGGAUUAAUAAAUAAUAUUACUUACAAAUUUUGUAUGGUAAAAAAAAACACUGAUUUCAUAAUGUAUAAGCAUUUAGCUAGCAGAGUAUUUUGCUGCACGAAUCAGCAGAGAAUCCAGGUUGGUUGUGGAGGGGGGUAGGAGGCCGCUGGGACUACGGCCUCCACCUCUGACCAUAUAUUUUGAUAGAGAUAAGUUUUUAAAAAUAUGUUGAAGUAAGCCAUAAGCUAAUAAACAAUUACUGUUAUACAAGAAACUCAAGGUUUUAUGUAUCUUGAGACUUAUGUUUCUGUAAGCAUUAAAAUUAUUUAGGAAUACGUGUAUCUCUUUACUAAGUACCAUUCUUGAGUGCACCCCAAUGGAUGGUGUUUUCUGUGCGUGCCUCAACGAAAUUUGAGGACAGCCGAAGAUUCACCCCCUUAGAUCGACAUGCCCUUCGGGCUGGUUCGUAAAUGUUCGGGUUUGUUUUUAUAUUUUUUUUUAUCUGUACGUUCAAAACAAACAUUGCAUCAUUGACAAAGUAUUGUAGACUAAUGUUAUUUUAUAUUUUUUAAGAGUAAAACGCAUGUACACUAAUAUUGCCCUGUUACUAAUUAUGAGAUUUUCAGGUAAGUUAUUGAGCUAUUUCUGUUUGAUUUGUUAGGAGAUUAGUUUUGUCCGUUUACAAGUUAACAUUGCUUGUGUUAUUCUUGGCAAGUAAUAAUUUCUUAUACAAAUUUUUGUACACUAUAGGCUUAUUAUUUAAAUUUUAGGUAGCGUGUAGAGAUUUCAUCUUAUGUUCAUGAGCGCACAACGUAUAAAAUCAUAAUAAAUGUUUUCUGGUGGUGUGUAGCAGUUAACCGCAUUUAAGUAAAAAUAUUUUGAAAUAAUUGUUACCAGAGCUGAAUUACAUUCAGGCUUGUGGAGAACAGCUUUUUUUUAUCUACUCUUUGGCUGGCCAAUGUAAAUAAGCAAUUAUUUCAUGAAUGCAGGAAGAGAGUUUAUUUGAUGUAUUUUAAAAUCACUGAUAAUAUUUAUUGGUGUAUUUUAAAAUCACUGAUAAUAUUUAUUGGUGUAUUUUAAAAUCACUGAUAAUAUUUAUUGGUGUAUUUUAAAAUUGCUGAUAAUAUUUGUUUUGUGGCUGGAAUGGUGACUUGUGAAUUUUUAUUAAGGAUUAAUAAAAAGCAGUAAAAAUUAUUAAUGGUUGUCACAAGGAAUUUUUUUUUCAAUAAUCAAUCAAUCAUCUACACUCUACAGUAACAAUUUUCCUUAACUCAAAUAAUAUUUCAAUACAUAUCUUAUAAAGUAUUCAUAUAUGUACAAUAUAGACCAAUUUUGAGCUAUUCUGAUAUCAGUAUAUU